CACGGGUAUAAAAGGGGAUGAGAUUGACAGGCAACCAAGCGCACGUCACCAAACGCGUCAUCUGGGAUUUCGGAAGUGAUGUAACUUCCUGUGGGUCGUGUUUAUGUCUACGAGUGUGCGGCUGAGGAAUAUUGUGGAUGUGUCGAGUGACACUUUGUCAGCUUUUCACUGAUACACGUCAAGUGUGCGGAGCGGUGUGAGCCCUAUUUGGCAGGUAUGUGAUCAGUUUCACUUAUGUGUAGCGAGGCGCAUCCCUUAUUUUCAAUCUAAAAUCUUGUAUGCUUUAUUAGUGUCACGGAGGUGUUGCAGCAGGCUUUUCGGGCGCUCUUGAGCCUUGCGUCCUUUCUGGACAAUCAAUACUGACUACUGAGUAGCUGCAGUAAUGAACGCAUGAAAAGCAGCACUAUUAUAAAGAUUUUGGCGUUUAUUUCUUCCCGUUGGUCCAGGCUUGACCCGCUCUUCACUGCCUCUUAACGGAUGCAUGUAAGAUGAACUAACCGAAUAUCAUAUCUCCACGAAGGGAGAAUUGCCUUUGUGGCUGGACUGAUAGCGUUCCCGGCCGGUGAGAGCGCAGCUAAAUUUAGCCGUGUUGAUUACUUAAGGGUUUGACUAAGGUGGGGUAUUUAAAUCGUAUAUCUCUGUAUUGUCACCUCUGUGUUAUUCUUUUGUUUGAUUUUCUUUUCUUUAAUUUUGUUGUGGUUUGGAAACCCCUAUUUGGGGUUUUUGUAUGAUUUGAUUUGUAAAUGUGAUGUUUUACAUGACGUUUUUGUGCUGCCUGUCAGUAAGUAAUUGUUAAGGAGAGCCGCUAUAACAAGAUGAUGCUAACUCCUUUGGCAGCGGGGUUCU